UUAUUGUUGUUGUUGUUAUUAUUAUAACCUAAGACAUAGAAGUAAGAGCAAAACUAAACACAAACAAAAACUAAAGACCUACAGUACAUGAAAGAAAAGGGAGAAAAAGAGCUAACCAAAACAAGAAA